rnacentral:rRNA from 1 species
GACAGAGGGUGCAAACGUUGCUCGGAAUCACUGGGCGUAAAGGGCGUGUAGGCGGGACAGUAAGUCGGGCGUGAAAUCCCUGGGCUCAACCCAGGAACUGCACUCGAAACUACUAUUCUUGAGUGUCGGAGAGGAAAGCGGAAUUCCUGGUGUAGAGGUGAAAUUCGUAGAUAUCAGGAGGAACACCAGUGGCGAAGGCGGCUUACUGGACUGUAACUGACACUGAGGCAUGAAAGCGUGGGGAGCAAACAGG